rnacentral:tRNA from 1 species
GGGCCCGUAGCUCAGCUUGGUGGAGCAUCUGACUCUUAAUCAGAGGGUCGCGAGUUCAAAUCUCGUCGGGCCCG